UACAGAGGGGGCAAGCGUUUGUUCGGAAUUACUGGGCGUAAAGGGCGCGUAGGCGGCCUUCUAAGUCGAACGUGAAAUCCCUGGGCUCAACCCAGGAACUGCGUCCGAGACUGGGAGGCUAGAAUCCGGGAGAGGGAUGCAGAAUUCCAGGUGUAGCGGUGAAAUGCGUAGAUAUCUGGAGGAAUACCGGUGGCGAAGGCGGCAUCCUGGACCGGCAUUGACGCUGAGGAGCGAAAGCUAGGGGAGCAAACGGG
rnacentral:rRNA from 1 species